rnacentral:lncRNA from 1 species
UUGACAUGAAAAUAAAUUGACAAUGAAAAUAAAUUGACAAUGAAAAUAUCCUAUUUAAAAGCUCCCACCUUAAGGUACCCUAGGUACUACCUUAGCUAAACAUGAACUCAACCUCUCCCAAGCCUUGGGUCUUCCUUUGUGACCCUUAGAGCAUCCCAUUAUGUGGUUCUCUUGAGUGCUCAGGUGGUCCACCAAUGGUUUUUUGGGACUGUACCUUAGGUACACCUUAAUGACCUUUAAGUAUUACCUUAAGAGACCCUAGGUACUACCUUAACUAAACUUGAACUCAACCUCUCCCAAGCCUCGGGCUUUCCUUUGUGAGCCUUAGAGCAUCUCAUUAUGUGGUUCUCUUGAGUGCUCAAGUGGUCCACCAAAGGUUUUUUGCAAUUGUACCUUAGGUACUACCUUAAGAGCCCUUAGGUACUACCUUAAUGGCCUUUAGGUACUACCUUAAGGGACCCUAGGUACUACCUUAGCUAAACAUGAACUCAACCUCUCCCAAGCCUCGGGUCUUCCUUUGUGACCCUUAGAGCAUCCCAUUAUGCGGUUCUCUUGAGUGCUCAAGAGGUUCAUCAAAGGUUUUUUGGGACUGUACCUUAAGUACUACCUUAAGGGCCCUUAGGUACUACCUUAAUGACCUUUAGGUACUAGCUUAAGGGACCCUAGGUACUACCUUAAGGUAAACAUGAACUCAACCUCUCCCAAGCCUCGGGCCUUCUUUUGUGACCCUUAAAGCAUCCCAUUAUGUGGUUCUCUUGAGUGCUCAAGUGGUCUACCAAUGGUUUUUUGGGACUGUACCUUAGGUACUACCUUAAGGGCCCUUAGGUACUACCUUAAUGGCCCUUAGGUACUACCUUAAGGGACCCUAGUUAUUACCUUAGCUAAACAUGAACUCAACCUCUCCCA